AGGUUGGGCUGGGCACUCUAGAGAGACUGCCGGUGACAAGCCGGAGGAAGGUGGGGAUGACGUCAAGUCCUCAUGGCCCUUAUGUCCUGGGCUACACACGUGCUACAAUGGCGGUGACAGUGGGAAGCUAGGUGGUGACACCAUGCUGAUCUCUAAAAGCCGUCUCAGUUCGGAUUGCACUCUGCAACUCGAGUGCAUGAAGGUGGAAUCGCUAGUAAUCGCGGAUCAGCAUGCCGCGGUGAAUACGUUCCCGGGUCUUGUACACAC
rnacentral:rRNA from 1 species